GAGGAAUGAAGUUUAAAUCGAAGUAACUUAUUGAUUUGUGCCAAUAAACAAAAAAAAAAUGCAAAUAUAAACGCUUGAGGAAAUUUAUUGACGCUUGAGGAUCAAGAUAAAACCCCAUGAAUACGUAUACAAAGUAACUGAAUCAUGGUCUUUACCAUAGACUGCACUUGAUCCAACAAACUCAAUAUGGAGUUAGAGAAGAGAAUUAUUAACAUAAAGAAAUCAAUAUGGUCUAUAAUUCACUACCUUACAUGAAUACAGAAUUGAAAUGAUCAUGUCCCUUGAUGACUAGACCAAUAACCUCCUGCAAUAUUUUGCUUAAUUAUAAAAGAGUUUUCAUUUCAGAAAACAUAGAGAUCAGCCAAUUCCUCCAAGGAAUCCAAGCUGAGAUUAUUAUGAUCAGCAUUUUCAAGCAUCCACAAGAGGUGGUCAAAGAGAACUACCUCACAUUUCAUCACCAAAACCUCCUCUCCAUGCUUGUCCUUAGACUUUUCGAGAAGAGCUUUAACUAGAGGAUGGCUCAAGUACUUGGAGCUUAUCACAUAUCGCUUUCUUGUGCUUCCAACGAAUAUAGUUUCAAGCUCUUCUUCAUCUUCAUGCUUGUCAACCCAAACAUCUUCUCUAGUGGAUUUGGACCUUAGGCUGCUAUAGGAUGAAGAUCUUCCAAGUUGCCUUGACAAGCUCUUGCACUUCCUUAGUAUCAAAUUGAUCUUCUUCAUGAUUUUCUUUGUUUUUUU
rnacentral:misc_RNA from 1 species